UACGUAGGUGACAAGCGUUGUCCGGAUUUACUGGGCGUAAAGAGCGCGCAGGCGGUCGUUCAAGUCGAGUGUGAAAGCCCCCGGCUCAACUGGGGAGGGUCAUUCGAUACUGAUCGACUCGAAGGCAGGAGAGGGAAGUGGAAUUCCCGGUGUAGUGGUGAAAUGCGCAGAUAUCGGGAGGAACACCAGUGGCGAAGGCGACUCUUUGGCCUGUAACUGACACUGAGGCGCGAAAGCGUGGGGAGCAAACAGG
rnacentral:rRNA from 1 species